GAUGAACGCUGGCGGCGUGCCUAAUACAUGCAAGUCGAGCGAACGGACGAGAAGCUUGCUUCUCUGAUGUUAGCGGCGGACGGGUGAGUAACACGUGGAUAACCUACCUAUGAGACUGGGAUAACUUCGGGAAACCGGAGCUAAUACCGGAUAAUAUUUUGAACCGCAUGGUUCAAAAGUGAAAGACGGUCUUGCUGUCACUUAUAGAUGGAUCCGCGCUGCAUUAGCUAGUUGGUAAGGUAACGGCUUACCAAGGCAACGAUGCAUAGCCGACCUGAGAGGGUGAUCGGCCACACUGGAACUGAGAAACGGUCCAGACUCCUACGGGAGGCAGCAGUAGGGAAUCUUCCGAAAUGGGCGAAAGCCUGACGGAGCAACGCCGCGUGAGUGAGGAAGGUCUUCGGAUCGUAAAACUCUGUUAUUAGGGAAGAACAUAUGUGUAAGUAACUGUGCACAUCUGGACGGUACCUAAGCAGAAAGCCACGGCUAACUACGU
rnacentral:rRNA from 1 species